AUUGAACGCUGGCGGCAGGCCUAACACAUGCAAGUCGAGCGGAGCGGCGGACGGGUGAGUAAUGCCUAGGAAUCUGCCUGGUAGUGGUGGAUAACGUCCGGACACGGGCGCUAAUACCGCCUACUCUCAGCUGCGCCUAUGUCGGAUUAGCUAGUUGGUGGGGUAAAGGCCUCCCCAGGCGACGAUCCGUAACUGGUCUGAGAGGAUGAUCAGUAACACGGGAACUGAGACACGGUCCAGACUCCUACGGGAGGCAGCAGGGGGGAAUAUUGGACAAUGGGCGAAAGCCUGAUCCAGCCAUGCCGCGUGUGUGAAGAAGGUCUUCGGAUUGUAAAGCACUUUAAGUUGGGAGGCGUUACCAGCAGAAUAAGCACCGGCUAACUUCGUGCCAGCAGCCGCGGUAAUAC
rnacentral:rRNA from 1 species